rnacentral:rRNA from 1 species
GUGAGGUAACGGCUCACCAAGGCCACGAUCCGUAGCUGGUCUGAGAGGAUGAUCAGCCACAUCGGGACUGAGACACGGCCCGAACUCCUACGGGAGGCAGCAGUGGGGAAUAUUGGACAAUGGGGGGAACCCUGAUCCAGCCAUGCCGCGUGUGUGAAGAAGGCCCUCGGGUUGUAAAGCACUUUCAGCGAGGAAGAACGCCUAGCGGUUAAUACCCGCUAGGAAAGACAUCACUCGCAGAAGAAGCACCGGCUAACUCCGUGCCAGCAGCCGCGGUAAUACGGAGGGUGCAAGCGUUAAUCGGAAUUACUGGGCGUAAAGCGCGCGUAGGUGGCUUGAUAAGCCGGUUGUGAAAGCCCCGGGCUCAACCUGGGAACGGCAUCCGGAACUGUCAAGCUAGAGUGCAGGAGAGGAAGGUAGAAUUCCCGGUGUAGCGGUGAAAUGCGUAGAGAUCGGGAGGAAUACCAGUGGCGAAGGCGGCCUUCUGGACUGACACUGACACUGAGGUGCGAAAGCGUGGGUAGCAAACAGGAUUAGAUACCCUGGUAGUCCACGCCGUAAACGAUGUCGACCAGCCGUUGGGUGCCUAGCGCACUUUGUGGCGAAGUUAACGCGAUAAGUCGACCGCCUGGGGAGUACGGCCGCAAGGUUAAAACUCAAAUGAAUUGACGGGGGCCCGCACAAGCGGUGGAGCAUGUGGUUUAAUUCGAUGCAACGCGAAGAACCUUACCUACUCUUGA